rnacentral:rRNA from 1 species
CACCGGCCCAGACUCCUACGGGAGGCAGCAGUGGGGAAUUUUCCGCAAUGGGCGGAAAGGCCUGACGGAGCAAUACCGCGUGAGGGAGGAAGGCUCUUGGGUGUAAACCUCAAAACUUAGGGAAGAAGAAAGUGACGGUACCUAAUAUAAGCAUCGGCUAACUCCGUGCCAGCAGCCGCGGUAAUACGGAGGAUGCAAGCGUUAUCCGGAAUCAUUGGGCGUAAAGAGUCUGUAGGUGGCAUUUAAAGUCUGCUGUCAAAGACCGAAGCUCAACUUCGGGCCGGCGGUGGAAACUGAAAAGCUAGAGUAUAGUAGGGGUAGAGGGAAUUCCUAGUGUAGCGGUGAAAUGCGUAGAGAUUAGGAAGAACACCAGUGGCGAAGGCGCUCUACUGGGCAUAUACUGACACUGAGAGACGAAAGCUAGGGUAGCGAAAGGGAUUAGAUACCCCUGUAGUCCUAGCGGUAAACGAUGGAUACUAGGUGUAGUCUGUAUCGACCCAGACUGUGCCGAAGCAAACGCGUUAAGUAUCCCGCCUGGGGAGUACGCACGCAAGUGUGAAACUCAAAGGAAUUGACGGGGACCCGCACAAGCGGUGGAGUAUGUGGUUUAAUUCGAUGCAACGCGAAGAACCUUACCAAGGCUUGACAUCCUGCGAAUUUUGGGGAAACCCAGAAGUGCCUUAGGGAACGCAGAGACAGGUGGUGCAUGGCUGUCGUCAGCUCGUGUCGUGAGAUGUUGGGUUAAGUCCCGCAACGAGCGCAACCCUCGUCCUUAGUUGCCAGCAUUAAGUUGGGGACUCUAGGGAGACCGCCGGGGAGAACUCGGAGGAAGGUGGGGAUGACGUCAAGUCAGCAUGCCCCUUACGUCUUGGGCUACACACGUACUACAAUGGUUGAGACAAAGGGAAGCGAAGCCGCGAGGUGAAGCGAAUCCCAGCAAACUCAGCCCCAGUUCAGACUGCAGGCUGAAACUCGCCUGCAUGAAGGAGGAAUCGCUAGUAAUCGCAGGUCAGCAUACUGCGGUGAAUCCGUUCCCGG